rnacentral:rRNA from 1 species
AGCCUUCAGCAAACCCAGUACAAGUAUUGAAGGUGAUGCCUGCCCGGUGACUCACGUUCAACGGCCGCGGUAUCCUAACCGUGCAAAGGUAGCGCAAUCAAUUGUCCCAUAAAUCGAGACUAGUAUGAAUGGCUAAACGAGGUCUUAACUGUCUCUUACAGGCAAUCGGUGAAAUUGAUCUCCCUGUACAAAAGCAGGGAUAAACCCAUAAGACGAGAAGACCCUGUGGAACUUCAAAACCAGCGACCACCUUAAAACACAUACUCACCCACCGGGUUUACUGUCACACGAGCCACUGGUACGCGUUUUUCGGUUGGGGCGACCUUGGAGCAAAACAAAACCUCCAAAAAUUAGACCACACCUCUAGACUGAGAGCAACCCCUCAACGUGCUAAUAGCAACCAGACCCAAUAUAAUUGAUCAAUGGACCAAGCUACCCCAGGGAUAACAGCGCAAUCUCCUCCGAGAGUCCGUAUCGACGAGGAGGUUUACGACCUCGAUGUUGGAUCAGGACAUCCUAGUGGUGCAGCCGCUACUAAGGGUUCGUUUGUUCAACGAUUAACAGUCCU